rnacentral:rRNA from 1 species
AUACAUAGGGGGCAAGCGUUAUCCGGAAUUAUUGGGCGUAAAGCGUGCGUAGGCGGUUUAUUAAGUCUGAUGUUAAAUCCCACAGCUCCACUGUGGGCUGGCAUUGGAAACUGGUAGACUUGAGUGCGGGAGAGGUAAGUGGAAUUCCAAGUGGAGCGGUGGAAUGCGUAGAUAUUUGGAGGAACACCAGUGGCGAAGGCGGCUUACUGGGCCGUUACUGACGCUGAGGCACGAAAGCGUGGGGAGCAAACAGGAUUAGAUCCCCUGGUAGUCCACGCCGUAAACGAUGAGCACUAAGUGUCGGAUGAAUUUUCGGCGCUGCAGUUAACACAAUAAGUGCUCCGCCUGGGGAGUACGGUCGCAAGACUGAAACUCAAAGGAAUUGACGGGG